rnacentral:rRNA from 1 species
UUUAGAUUGAAGGAGCUUGCUCCUGAUUGAUAACAUUUGAGUGAGUGGCGACGGGUGAGUAACACGUGGGUAACCUGCCCUAAAGUGGGGGAUAACAUUUGGAAACAGAUGCUAAUACCGCAUAAAACCUAACACCGCAUGGUGUAGGGUUGAAAGAUGGUUUCGGCUAUCACUUUAGGAUGGACCCGCGGUGCAUUAGUUAGUUGGUGAGGUAAAGGCUCACCAAGACCGUGAUGCAUAGCCGACCUGAGAGGGUAAUCGGCCACACUGGGACUGAGACACGGCCCAGACUCCUACGGGAGGCAGCAGUAGGGAAUCUUCCACAAUGGACGAAAGUCUGAUGGAGCAACGCCGCGUGAGUGAAGAAGGUUUUCGGAUCGUAAAACUCUGUUGUUGGGGAAGAAUGUAUCUGAUAGUAACUGAUCAGGUAGUGACGGUAUCCAACCAGAAAGCCACGGCUAACUACGUG